UACGUAGGGGGCAAGCGUUGUCCGGAUUUAUUGGGCGUAAAGAGCGUGUAGGCGGUUAGGUAGGUCCGUUGUGAAAACUCGAGGCUCAACCUCGAGACGCCGAUGGAAAUCCCCUAACUAGAGUCCGGAAGAGGAGAGUGGAAUUCCUGGUGUAGCGGUGAAAUGCGCAGAUAUCAGGAAGAACACCCGUGGCUAAGGCGGCUCUCUAGUACGGUACUGACGCUGAGACGCGAAAGCGUGGGGAGCGAACAGG
rnacentral:rRNA from 1 species